GAAAUGUGUUCGUAUGAUAAAUGGUACUUAGUUGAUUAAUUGUAGCCUAUCAAUUUUCAUUUCUCAUUAGCAUCCAUAUUCAAUAUCGUCUAUAUCUGUAGUCUCCAAAGCUCUUUCUUUCACCCUUUCUCACUUACGAUUUAUUUAAAUAGAACAGUUUAACUUGUUGCUUCUGAAGAUGUAGCCCUAAAUUAAGUAGUGAA
rnacentral:misc_RNA from 1 species